rnacentral:rRNA from 1 species
UUCAUGAAGCUGGAAUUGCUAGUAAUGGCAGGUCAGCAUACUGCCGUGAAUACGUUCCCGGGCCUUGUACACACCGCCCGUCACACCAUGAGAGUUGGGAAUACCCGAAGCCUGUGAGCUAACUUAUAGAGGCAGCAGUCGAAGGUAGAAUCAAUGAUUGGGGUGAAGUCGUAACAAGGUACC